rnacentral:rRNA from 1 species
GAUGAACGCUGGCGGCGUGCCUAAUACAUGCAAGUCGAGCGAACAGACGAGGAGCUUGCGCCUCGGAUGUUAGCGGCGGACGGGUGAGUAACACGUGUAUAACCUACCUAUAAGACUGGGAUAACUUCGGGAAACCGGAGCUAAUACCGUAUAACAUGUUGAACCGCAUGGGUGAACAGUGAAAGACGGUGUUGCUGUCACUUAUAGAUGGAUCCGCGCCGCAUUAGCUAGUUGGUAAGGUAACGGGUUACCAAGGCAACGAUGCGUAGACGACCUGAGAGGGUGAUCGGCCACACGAGAACUGAGACACGGUCCAGACUACUACGGGAGGCCGCAGUAGGGAAUCUGCCGCAAAGGGCGAGAGCAUGACGGAGCAAGGCGGCGUGAGAGAAGAAGGUCUUCGGAUCGUAAAACUCUGUUAUUAGGGAAGAACAAAUGUGUAAGUAACUAUGCACGUCGUGACGGUAACUAAUCAGAAAGCAACGGCUAACUACGUG